GAAGCCCAGCACCGAAGCGCCUGUCCCAAUGGGGCAGGAGGGCCAUGUGGUGUUUAGGAAUAGCGCGACCGAAGGUUGAUCUAAGCGCAAGUCCUCCUGACUGGGGCUCUCGCCCAUAGAGGGUGCAAGGCCCAUAGUCGCUUAUGAUCUCCGGCGGAAGCAAAAUUCCUUGGAGUCGGGUUGCUUGAGAGUGCAGCCCUAAGUGGGUGGUAAACUCCAUCUAAGGCUAAAUACGACCACGAAACCGAUAGCGAACAAGUACCGUGAGGGAAAGUUGAAAAGAACUUUGAAGAGAGAGUUCAAGAGUGCGUGAAACCGUUUAGAGGUAAACGGGUGGGCCCUCGAAGGUGAUCGUCGGAGGGAUUCAGUCGGACGUGACCGUAAGCGUCGUUCGUCUCUAACGGUGCGGACCUCGGUCGGCCGGGCGGGCGAAGGCUGCGGGCCGUUUGGCGCAUUUCCUUCCGUUCGAACUACGCUGCGACCAGUCUGGUCACUGAAAGUUGUCGGCCUUGAUAGCGGGCGAUGGAAGGUGGCCGGCCGCGCCUCUCGGGGUGCGGUCGGUGUUUAUAGCCAGCUCGUUUUACGAGUGCGCGUUCAUCAGACUGGGGACGAUUCUAGCCCUGUGCGGGCUACGCCGAGCACUCCGUUUCGGAGCGUUGCGGGGUGACUGGAUGUGCCUGCGGUUGGAAGCCUCACCUUAGUGUGGACUGCCGCCGUAGGUCUCCGUAAGCUCAUUCCGUACUCGCCGUUGCUCAGGUGGUUGACCCGUCUUGAAACACGGACCAAGGAGUCUAACAUGUGCGCAAGUCAUUGGGUCUUGAUUAGGCCCAAAGGCGUAAUGAAAGUGAAGGGCGGUUCGGCCGUCUGCCUUGGGAUCCCGUGGACCUCGCGUUCGCGGGCGCACCAAGGGCCCGUCCCGGUCGCCUCGUCGACGGGGCGGAGCAAGAGCGUACACGUUGGGACCCGAAAGAUGGUGAACUAUGCCUGGGCAGGACGAAGCCAGAGGAAACUCUGGUGGAGGUCCGCAGCGAUUCUGACGUGCAAAUCGAUCUGGCGCUGUGGGAUGAACCAAACGCCCGGUUAAGGGGCCCGAUGCGAGACGCUCAUGAGAUCCCAUGGAAAGGUGUUGGUUGCUAUAGACAGCAGGACGGUGGCCAUGGAAGUCGGAAUCCGCUAAGGAGUGUGUAACAACUCACCUGCCGAAGCAACUAGCCCUGAAAAUGGAUGGCGCUUCAGCGUCGACCCUAUACCGAGCCGCCGCGGCCGAAAAGCCUCGUGUUUUAAGCCGCGGUGAGUAGGAGGGGCGCGGAGGCGAGCGUCGAAGGUGCCGGGCGUAAGCCCGCCUGGAGCCGCCUCCGGCGCAGAUCUUGGUGGUAGUAGCAAAUACUCAAGUGAGAACCUUGAGGACUGAGGUGGAGAAGGGUUCCAUGUGAACAGCAGUUGAACAUGGGUCAGUCGGUCCUAAGGGAUAGGAGAAAUCCGUUCCGAGGCGGGACCUCUCUAAAGCAAGUCCCGCUGAUGACCGAAAGGGAAUCGGGUUAAUAUUCCCGAACCCGGACACGGAGAUCGUCCUCUUCGGAGGUACAUUGCGGUAACGCAAACGAGCUCGAAGACGUCGACGGGAGCACCGGGAAGAGUUAUCUUUUCUUUGUAAGGAUUCGACUCCCUGGAAUCGGCUCGCCCGGAGAUAGGGAUGGUGUUUCCGUAAAGCACCGCGCCUCUUGCGGUGUCCGGAUCGCUCCCGUCGGCCCUUGAAAAUUCGAGUGAGAGAUAGUGAUUUUCGUGCCGGACCGUACCCAU
rnacentral:rRNA from 1 species